GACAGAGGGUGCAAACGUUGCUCGGAAUCACUGGGCGUAAAGGGCGUGUAGGCGGGAAGGAUAGUCAGAUGUGAAAUCCCUGGGCUCAACCCAGGAACUGCAUUUGAAACUCCCUUUCUUGAGUGUCGGAGAGGAAAGCGGAAUUCCUGGUGUAGAGGUGAAAUUCGUAGAUAUCAGGAGGAACACCGGUGGCGAAGGCGGGUCUCUGGGCCGAUACUGACGCUGAGGAGCGAAAGCGUGGGGAGCAAACGGG
rnacentral:rRNA from 1 species